rnacentral:lncRNA from 13 species
AUGAAAAGAAUACACCUCACUCUGAUAAAAGUAGCCCAAGCCCUGGCUACUUUGACAUCUGACCAAAAAGGCUUCAAUUACACCAGACAAACCAGGGGAUUGUUUGAAUCUUUCCUUCGGAGAUUCAAACUCAUCACAGCCCAGCACACCAAUCCUCCAAGAAUGCUGAAAAAAGCACGGGACCACCACAGCUCCUGUACGCUAUUUAUAAAGCUCGAUAUAGUUCUUCCAGCCUCCUUUUCCACCCGCAUGAUGAAUGACAAGCUCUUGGUUCUCCUUUCUGGCAGACAAGCUCUGCCAGGAUACAGCAAGAACCUCUGUAUGCAGGGGCAGAGGUCUCCAACUAGGCAAACAUUCUACAGCUCGUCACCAGUGACACAGCCCAUGUGCUACACAGCAUCUCCUUUCCUCAGGGAAGACUCUUCCCCACUCAAAUUCAGCCUCCCUGUGACAAAUCCCCAACCCCUACUCCGUGCCACUCAGAGAGAAGGAUCACUGCCACACUAUGCAGGUACUCCCCCACCACAACAAGAUGCCUCAUUAAUGGGAAAAAAAAAAAAAAAAGAUGUCACAAUCUCCCCAUCUCCACCCCGGGCAAAGCCGGUUGCGUGGCUGUGGGAGGAUUUUCUACCACUAUUUGAAGCUUCAGGGCAAAAUCCUCCACAUGCCCGCAGAGCUCUCGUCUGCCUUCGUUCACAUUCACCACCUGUCCCCGGGCCCCGCAGGCAGCGGCACUGCAGCCACAGCACUUCUUCCCUCAGGAGGCCUAAGGACGACUUCUGCCGUUACAUCUGUAGCUUCUGUACACAAACCACGGUCAAAACAUCAUUAAAUACGAUUGUGCUACUGACCUUUUUGUGUUCCUGCUUUACUGAUCUCCGUGGUGCCUCCGGUUCAUAUGGAAACCUGCCACUGAAGGCAAUCAGGCUUUCUGUGGACAUUAAUGAUGUCUUGAUUCCAGAUCCAUCCCUGAUGCCAUUUUUGUCUGGCCUAUGCCAUCAAUGCAAAGAUGAACUCUUCCUACUGCAUCUCUGUAACUUACCUGCAUUUUCAUAUCGCAACCAGUGA